GCAUUUAUACCACAGCAGCAAAAACAAAUGCCGGUGGAAAUGCACAAGCAAACAUCAAAAUCAUGCCAAACUGCAAUGCCAAUUCUAAGAAAUCUGCAAACAGUACAGGUAAAUGUCAAUCUUGGAUGUUUCUCAAAUAUGAUAAGAAAUUGAGCCUAUUUAUUUUUUACUUCAAUAUACACAUGUAUAUCUAAGUGAAAAUACUUGUAUUCCAUAUGAAAAAAUUAAUUAAAUACCACAUAAAAAUCAAGAGUGUAAUGAAUUUAGAAUUACCAUCAAACAAUCCAUCUUCAAGAUCCUCUCCAAUGCUAGCAGAGUAAGGGGGCUUAAGGUAUUCUUUCUCUACUCUAGAAGUAAAUUGGAUUUUUUCUCUUGCUUCUCCUUUCGCUCUCUUCUUAUGUCUUGAGAAAUAAAAGAUAGUUUAGCAAUUGCAUAGUGGCAACAUGUUAAACAAAGUAAAUCAAGCAUAGUCCGUGUCCAAGGGAAUGAAAAGGCUUACCGAACCCUGUACUUUUUAUAGGUAUACUUGAGAUAAGGCAAUGAAUUUUCCAGUAAAUUUUCCAACACCUGGAAAGACGUUUUCUUUUACAUCAUUAUGUUAAAGGGAAACCCCAAACUAAACAGAUGGAAAGUAAAGGGAAAAGGGGAGAAGGAAGAGACAGA
rnacentral:lncRNA from 1 species